AAGUCGUAACAAGGUUUCCGUAGGUGAACCUGCGGAAGGAUCAUUACUAGAGCAAAGGAUAGACAGCGCCCGCGGAGCUUGCUCCCUGGGGCUACCCUACUUCGGUAGGGUUUAGAGUCGUCGGGCCUCUCGAAGAAGCUCGGUCCUGAACUCCACCCUUGAAUAAAUUACCUUUGUUGCUUUGGCGGGCCGCCUCGUGCCAGCGGCUUCGGCUGUUGCGUGCCCGCCAGAGGACCACAACUCUUGUUUUUAGUGAUGUCUGAGUACUAUAUAAUAGUUAAAACUUUCAACAACGGAUCUCUUGGUUCUG
rnacentral:misc_RNA from 1 species